rfam:Caenorhabditis elegans chromosome V
AUUUACGAAACGUUACGUGAAAGUGGAGUCGAUCCCUUCCUUUUUGUCUUUCUCGAUUUUAAUCAGGAAUGCGUCGACGAAAUCAUCACCCUCCUCACUUAUGACG